CCUACGGGUGACAGCAGUCAGGAAUAUUGGUCAAUGGACGGAAGUCUGAACCAGCCAUGCCGCGUGCAGGAUGACGGCUCUAUGAGUUGUAAACUGCUUUUGUACGAGAGUAAUACUUCUUACGUGUAGGGAUUUUAAUGUAUCGUACGAAUAAGGAUCGGCUAACUCCGUUCCAGCAGCCGCCGUAAUUCGGGGGAUUCGAGCGUUAUCCGGAUUUAUUGGGUUUAAAGGGUGGGUAGGCUGUCUGAUAAGUUAGAGGUCAAAUUUGGGGGCUUAACCCCGGGCCUGCCGCUGAUACUGUUCGACUAGAGAGCGGAUGAAGCAGGCGGAAUGAGUAGUGUAGCGGUGAAAUGCAUAGAUAUUACUCAGAACACCGAUUGCGAAGGCAGCUUGCUAAUCCGCAUCUGACGCUGAUGCACGAAAGCGUGGGUAGCGAACAGGAUUAGAUACCCCAGUAGUC
rnacentral:rRNA from 1 species